ensembl:lncRNA
UGCGCUUGGUCUGCGUAUGCGACUUGGUCCGGACGGCUGCGACUGGUUCCUCUUGGACGGUCAUGCGACUGGUCUCUUGACGGUCGUGCGACUGGUCCUCUUGCGCUAUGCGAUUGGUCCUCGUGACGUCAUGCGACUGGUCCUCUUGACGCCAUGCGACUGGUCUCGUGGACGGCAUGUGGUCGCGAUUGGUCCUCUUGACGCGCGACUGGUCCUCUUGACGCGCGCGACUGGUCCUCUUGGCGUCAUGCGACUGGUCCUCUUGGCGUCAUCGACUGGUCCUCGUGACGGUCAUGCGACUGGUCCUCUUGACGUCAUGCGACUGGUCCUCGUGACGGUCAUGCGACUGGUCCUCGUGACGUCAUGCGACUGGUCCUCUUGGCGUCUGCGACUGGUCCUCGUGGACGCUGCGACUGGUCCUCUUGGCGUCAUGCGACUGGUCUCGUGGCGGUCAUGCGACUGGU